GACGAACGCUGGCGGCGUGCUUAACACAUGCAAGUCGAACGGUGAAGCGCCUUCCUUUUUGGUGGGUGUGGAUGAGUGGCGAACGGGUGAGUAACACGUGAGUAACCUGCCCCCUUCUUCUGGAUAACCGCAUGAAAGUGUGGCUAAUACGGGAUAUUCUGGGUCUGUCGCAUGAUGGGUCUGGGAAAGAUAUUGUUUCGGUGGGGGAUGGACUCGCGGCCUAUCAGCUUGUUGGUGGGGUGAUGGCCUACCAAGGCGGUGACGGGUAGCCGGCCUGAGAGGGGGACCGGCGACAGGGGGACUGCGGUGCGGGCCAGGCGGGUGCGGGAGGCAGCAGUGGGGAAUGUUGCACGAUGGGCGGACGCCUGAUGGAGCAGCGCCGCGGGCGGGAGGACGGCCUUCGGGUUGUAGACCGCUUUCGCCGGUGACGAAGCGUGAGUGACGGGAAUGGGUAAAGAAGCACCGGCUAGCUACGUG
rnacentral:rRNA from 1 species